GGGGGUCCCAGAUUGGAGACACAGGUGGAGGAAGGAGGCAGGUGAGGCGGCACCGCUCUAGUCCAGGUGGAGGCUGUUGGGGGCCAGGAGGAGCGCAGGCGUGGCUCAGAGUCCCGUGGGCCACAGACCCUGCCCAAGCCCCUGUGCUGUGCGGUGGGUCCGGGAGGGACUCCGGGCGAGUUUGCGGAUGUGGGGUGUUGGGUGCAGGAGCCUGGGGUGGAGGCGAAACUUAGGAACCGUCGGGGCCCAACUGGCCGUGAGUCUAGAGACUCUAGACGGAGGUCACCGCGGGACUUCGUGCAGCGGAGGUGAGGCCUGGGGCGCCUCGACGGUAACGGGCCGGCGAGAGGAGGAGGAACCAGCCGAGCAGCCGUGGGGAACCGGGAGGAGAGACGCCGCGGGCGGUGAGCCUGCUAGGCUCCGACGUCUUCGCCUCCAGCCCCCGACCCAGAGCGUGGCCUCGGCCGCCGUGGGGCCCCCACCCCCUCUUUGCUCUGUUUGGGUCCUGAGGCCGUGACUUUGCCCAUCCUGGGCUGUGCCGACUUCUCAGGGCCGGGUUCAGCGCGAAGCACCAGCGGAUGCUCCGGAGAUGGAGGAUGGAUGGCGCCUCCUUUAGAAGCUCGCCGCAAGGAUUAGAUAAAACGGCACACAGAAAGCACUGGACGGGCUGCUUCGCCCAGCGCUCCGCUUGGGUGCCCGUCUCUCCGGGUCCUGGAACCUCUGGCCUCCCCUUCAGCAGAGCGGGCGAUGAACCUGCUCUCGAGACUCAGAGACCACAGAGCAGUGCUUCUCGACUCUGCCACUGGUCCUCUGGGUGGGCACGGUGCUCAGAUCCGCUCUGUGAGGGACACAGAGAAAGGUGCCCCCCCCCCCGGGGGGGGAGCGGCUUGCUCUGCAGCCAGAGAAGGAAUGAAGAGGGCGCCUGUGUGCUCGUAGGAAGCUGUCUCCGCGUGAUCCUGUUAGAUAUUGUUCACGGGGCUAAAAACAAAACCAAAGUGCCAAAGAGUGUAUGGUACACGCUCACACUGGAGCUGAAACGGGCCGUGAGGACAGAGGAUAUAGGCAGAUGUGCCUCCAUAUGCAUCGAAUGUCUAUAAAGUUGGGAGGUUUUUUUGGUUUGUUUUGCUAUUUUAGGGCGGCACCUGCAGCCUAUGGAGGUUCCCAGGCGAGGGGUCUACUCGGAGCUCCAGCUGCCGGCCUACACCACAGCCACAGCCACGGCCACAGCAGGUCUGACCCGCCUCUGCGACCUCCACCACAGCUCGUGGCAAUGCCGGAUCCUUAACCCACUGAGCGAGACCAGGGAUCGAACCCGCCUCCUCACGGAUCCCAGUCGAGUUCCUUAACUGCUGAGCCAGGAAGGGAACUCCUCCUCUAACGUUUUUCCUAAGGUAUUGAUUAGUUACUCCUCAGGAGAGGAACUGGGUGCCUGGGGUCUGUGGUUAAAGGCACCUUUUUGCUGCACACCUGGGAAAUACGUAAAAGGAAUGGUUUGGGGUGUUACCUCCCUGAAAUAAGAUCAGGGAGGGGAAAAGAAAUAUUUUAAUUCAGGGGCGCAGAUUCCGACACCGGCGAGAAGUUGAAUAUGUGUGAUGGUCACCUGUGAGCCAGGAGGGAGUGGUGGGGACAUGUCCCGGGAGGCCCUGCUUGGUGUCAGCACAUGGCUGCCUGCAGACGUGUGUGCAGACGUCAGAGCUUCUCAUCUCCAAGGAGCCCUGGAAGUGGGGUGGCCGUGGGCGAGGCAGAUGGAGAGCGUGGCCCAGGGAGCGGCGGGCUGGAGGGAGACGGGGAAGGGUGGUCUGGCUCCUCUACUGUGUCCCCAACCCCCUCCCCUGCUGCCUGCCACUUAGGAGAAUGGAAAAGGGGGCGGGCUCCCUUUCCCAGUCCCUCUUGCAGUGGGGAGUCGUCAGGUGACACAGUUCUGGCCCAUUAGGAGUCUUUUUUUUUUGGCCACACCUGCAGCACAUGGAAGGACGUUCCCAGGCCAGGGAUUGAAUCUGAGCCACAGCUACAGCAACACGGGCUGCUCAAGCCACUUCACUGGGCCAGGGAUCAAAUUGUGCCACUUCCACAGCGACCCAAGCCACUGCAGUGGGACCCUUAACCCCAUGCCCCACAGUAGGAACUCCCUAAGGAGUCUUUUUCUGGAGGAGGGGGAGGUUCUGGCAAAUGCAAUCUCUUCAUGAUAAAACGGACAAAUGCUAGCGCUUCCAUUGCGGGUCAGUAGGUUAAGAAUCUGAUUCGUGGAGUUCCCUCAUGGCCCAGCAGUAACGAACCUGACUAGUAUCCAUGAGGACGUGGGUUCAAUCCCUGGCGUCCAUCAGUGGGUUAAGGAUCCAGGGUUGUGGCAAGCUGAGGCGUAGGUCACAGAUGCAGCUCCAGUUUCAACUCCUAGCCUGGGAACUUCCGUAUGCCUCAGGUGCAGCCCUGAAAAGCAAACAACAACAACAACAACAACAAUAACAACAAAAAACCUUUCAAUUGACCCUUAACAACCAUUCCUCUUCCUUCCUGUCUUAAAUGUGGAUGCAGAUGCAAUGCCAGGUGCAGUCGCAGCCAUUUUGCCAACAAAAAGAGAAAAGCCAAGACAUUUCAGAGAUAGGAAACCUGACAUCACGGGCCUGGUAAAGAAGUGCCAGCCAUGGCUGAUCUCCACGCUCCCUGGGGUGGGGGAAACGACACUUCUGUAUUUGUCUGAGCCGCUAUGAUCUGUUUUCUAUUUUUUUUGUAGUCAAACAUAGCUUUAUAGAAGACGCAUAUUUGACUGAACUCAGAAGAGGAGGGGAGAGGAGAGGCCAGGCAGGAGUCUGUGGAGGGUAGAGUCUGAGGGGAGAGACUUCCUUUGGAGGUGGGGAGGCCAGAGCAUCUUUCUAAUGUAAUAAGCAGUAUUUAUGUAGCGUAUACUGUGUGCCCCGAACUGGGUGUUUUUUUUUGUUUUUUGUUUUUUGUUUUGGUCUUUUUGUCUUUUCAGGCUGCACCCACGGCGUAUGGAAGUUCCCAGGCCAGGGGUCCAAUCAGAACUGUAGCUGCUGGCCUGCACCACAGCCACGUGGGAUCUGAGCCACAUCUGCGACCUACACCACAGCUUAUGGCAAUGCCAGAUCCUUAACCCACUGAGCAAGGCCAGGGAUUAAACCCGCGUCCUCAUGGAUGCCGGUCGGGCUCACUAACCACUGAGCCACAACAAGAACUCCCGACCAGGGAUUUACACAGAUCAACGUACCCCUCGCCACAGUCGAGUGAGCUAGGCCCAGGCCUACCCCCUCAUGUGGCGGGUCCUGAGGCCCAGAGAAGCAAGGCAGCUCGGCCAGAGGUCCUCCAGCCACCGGCAGUGUGAUAGGAUUUGAAUUCAGAGAGCAGUUGUCCAGCCCGUGGUGGACUCUGCUUCCUUCUUGGGUCUCCGGUGUGAAAGGGGACCCCGCGAGCCUGCCUCCUGCGGGUGUGGCCCCAGAGGCAGUGUGAUGUGCCAGUAUGUGCCAGUACCGGGAGCUGGCGUCUGCUGGCCCAGCAGCCGGGUGACCACGCCCUUUGCAGCCCGAGG
rnacentral:lncRNA from 1 species